UACGUAGGGGGCGAGCGUUGUCCGGAUUCAUUGGGCGUAAAGCGCGCGUAGGUGGCUACAUAAGUCCGUUGUGAAAGUCAAAGGCUCAACCUUUGAAAGCCGAUGGAUACUGUGUGGCUAGAGUACGGAAGAGGCGAGUGGAAUUCCUGGUGUAGCGGUGGAAUGCGCAGAUAUCAGGAGGAACACCAAUAGCGAAGGCAGCUCGCUGGGACGUUACUGACACUGAGGCGCGAAAGCGUGGGGAGCGAACAGG
rnacentral:rRNA from 1 species